rnacentral:rRNA from 1 species
UACGGGAGGGGUGCAAGCGUUAUCCGGAUUUACUGGGGUUUUAAAGGGGUGCGUAGGCGGCUCUUUUAAGUCAGUGGUGAAAUCCUAGUGCUCAACACUAGAACUGCCAUUGAAACUGAAGAGCUGGAGUCAAGGAGAGGUAAGCAGAAUUUAUGGUGUAGCAGUGAAUGCUUAGAUACCAUAAGGAAUACCGACAGCGAAGGCAGCUUACUGGCCUUGCACUGACGCUGGAGGCACGAAAGCGUGGGGGAGCAAACAGGA